UAGGGAAUCUUCGGCAAUGGGGGGAACCCUGACCGAGCAACGCCGCGUGAGUGAAGAAGGUUUUCGGAUCGUAAAGCUCUGUUGUUAAGGAAGAACGAGUGUGAGAAUGGAAAGUUCAUGCUGUGAAGGUACUUAACCAGAAAGGGACGGCUAACUACGUGCCAGCAGCCGCGGUAAUACGUAGGUCCCGAGCGUUGUCCGGAUUUAUUGGGCGUAAAGCGAGCGCAGGCGGUUAGAUAAGUCUGAAGUUAAAGGCAGUGGCUCAACCAUUGUAGGCUUUGGAAACUGUUUAACUUGAGUGCAGAAGGGGAGAGUGGAAUUCCAUGUGUAGCGGUGAAAUGCGUAGAUAUAUGGAGGAACACCGGUGGCGAAAGCGACUUUCUGGUCUGUAACUGACGCUGAUGUGCGAAAGCGUGGGAAUCAAACAGG
rnacentral:rRNA from 1 species